CAGCAACGGCAGCAUGUAAACUUUGAGAGUCUUGCUGUAACUGAAAGUUUGCUGUUGAAUCUUUGGUCAAAAGAUACGCUUUUGAGCCCUAAGUUUUGGCCCCUUUCCCACGCACCUUUCGGCAAACAAACUCAAUUAUAGAUAAGCGCACAUACAGACACAAACUUUGGUGGAAAACUUCACAGUCAGUUGGAAAAUGAAGCGUAUCGGACGUCUGUCGGAGCUGCCAUCUUUGGCAUUUGCUGUGCUGGCCAAAAUGCAUUUCCUAUUCAAAACUAGUUCCAAUUGAUUAAGUUACUGGUUAAUGGAUUGCUUGAGCACCUUGCCACAUUUGGCUGGCCAGUGCCAGUGCCAGUGGUCAUUGGCCCUUGGGGAAUGUCAGCGUAUUUACUUGACAAGUGUGUCCCCCUCUGGCUUUUGUGUGUGCAAAACUUAAUUCCGAAUAAUUAUUUCGCUUUAUG
rnacentral:lncRNA from 1 species